rnacentral:rRNA from 1 species
UACGGGGGGGGCAAGCGUUGUUCGGAAUUACUGGGCGUAAAGGGCUCGUAGGCGGCCAACUAAGUCGGAUGUGAAAUCCCCAGGCUUAACCUGGGAACUGCAUCCGAUACUGGAUGGCUUGAAUUCGGGAGAGGGAUGCAGAAUUCCAGGUGUAGCGGUGAAAUGCGUAGAUAUCUGGAGGAAUACCGGUGGCGAAGGCGGCAUCCUGGACCGACCUUGACGCUGCGGAGCGAAAGCCAGGGGAGCAAACGGG